UACGGAGGGAGCUAGCGUUGUUCGGAAUUACUGGGCGUAAAGCGCACGUAGGCGGCUUUUUAAGUCAGGGGUGAAAUCCCGGGGCUCAACCUCGGAACUGCCUUUGAUACUGCAAAUCUCGAGUCCGGAAGAGGUGAGUGGAAUUCCUAGUGUAGAGGUGAAAUUCGUAGAUAUUAGGAAGAACACCAGUGGCGAAGGCGGCUCACUGGUCCGGUACUGACGCUGAGGUGCGAAAGCGUGGGGAGCAAACAGG
rnacentral:rRNA from 1 species